rnacentral:rRNA from 1 species
UGUGGCGACGGGUGAGUAACACGUGACUAACCUACCUUCAAGUGGGGGAUAACCUCGGGAAACCGGGGCUAAUACCGCAUAACAUCGCUGAAAUCAAAGGAGCGCAGGAAGAGGGAGUCGCGGCUGAUUAGCUAGUUGGUGAGGUAACGGCCCACCAAGGCAAUGACCAGUAGCCGGCCUGAGAGGGCGCACGGCCACACUGGAACUGAAACACGGUCCAGACUCCUACGGGAGGCAGCAGUGGGGAAUUUUGCGCAAUGGGGGACACCCUGACGCAGCAACGCCGCGUGGAGGAUGAAGUCCCUUGGGACGUAAACUCCUUUCGACCGGGACGAUUGACGGUACCGGUGGAAGAAGCCCCGGCUAACUCCGUGCCAGCAGCCGCGGUAAUACGGGGGGGGCAAGCGUUGUUCGGAAUUAUUGGGCGUAAAGGGCGCGUAGGCGGCGCGGUAAGUCUCCUGUGAAAUCUCCAGGCUUAACUUGGAGCCUGCAGGGGAAAC